rnacentral:rRNA from 1 species
AGACGUUUGUACGUCCUGGCUCAGGACGAACGCUGGCGGCGUGCUUAACACAUGCAAGUCGAACGGAAAGGCCUGCUUUUGUGGGUGCUCGAGUGGCGAACGGGUGAGUAACACGUGAGUAACCUGCCCUUGACUUUGGGAUAACUUCAGGAAACUGGGGCUAAUACCGGAUAGGAGCUCCUGCUGCAUGGUGGGGGUUGGAAAGUUUCGGCGGUUGGGGAUGGACUCGCGGCUUAUCAGCUUGUUGGUGGGGUAGUGGCUUACCAAGGCUUUGACGGGUAGCCGGCCUGAGAGGGUGACUGGCCACAUUGGGACUGAGAUACGGCCCAGACUCCUACGGGAGGCAGCAGUGGGGAAUAUUGCACAAUGGGCGGAAGCCUGAUGCAGCAACGCCGCGUGCGGGAUGACGGCCCUCGGGUUGUAAACCGCUUUCGCCUGUGACGAAGCGUGAGUGACGGUAAUGGGUAAAGAAGCACCGGCUAACUACGUG